UUUUGUUUCAAAGAAAUAUGUAAGAAACAGAGUACGUUACCGUAAAUUCGGAUUGCAUCAAAACACUGAUUUCUUGGCCUGAUUUCCCACAUUUGGACCAUACUCGUGGAUUCAAACUUACGAUUGCGGUUGAUGACCAAAUGCAAGAUUUCAAUGAACGAUUAGGGUUUUCGAUCAACGAAGUGGGUUUAGUGCGUAGAGUGAAGGGUCAUUAACUGUGUAUAUCAUUCAAUAUGGCGGUAAUCGAUGAUAUGGAGGUGGAAAGACGAAAAUACCCCCGUCUUUGUUGCAUGUAACGGAGUAUAUGGACGGAAGUUAGUGGGAGGGACCAAAAGCAAUGGAAAAAUCCAAUUUUGGACCAGUGGUGCAUCAAAGUAUCGUUUUGGACCAAAGUCGCAUAAUUUUGCCAAACACAGGGACCAUUUUUGCAAUUUUGUCAAAAAAUAAAUAUAGAUAUAAUUAAAUAAAUAAAACACAAAAAACAGUCCAAACAUAUUAUGUAUUUAUUAAAAAUAGUAAAAGAAAACAACAAAAAAUAAAUAAAUAAUAAAUUAAAAAAAAAGAGGGUAAAAAAUUUGAGGGGUGAAUAAAAAAACCGUUUAGUAAGGUUAAUUUUGGAAUCGAUAUGCUUUUAAAAAGAACCGUUACAAGUGGGAAGUCAAAAAGGUUGGGUCGGUGUAUUGGCGCUUAAUAUUACCAUCUUCUUCGCUCUUCCACACUUCACUCGUCCACCGGAGAGGCUAGUCUCUAUAACUCCGCUCCUCGGAGACCCAAGCAGCCCUAUACACUCGCAAUCAUCUCUAUAAUCCAAAGAAAUUAACAAGAUCGUCGUAAGUUUUCAUUCUUCUCCCUUUCAUUCGUUCUCCGAUCAUCCUGCUGCUCUCCAAACACCGUCGGAGACAUGUUAGAGGGUUUUACUUGGAGGGGACAUCUUUCACACCGCCGUAUCUCCUUUUCUUCUAGCGACACCAGUGUUUUCUCUUUCUUUCAUUCUAGGGGCGUUCAAGAAUCCUCUGCCUUUCCCUCUUCGUCUCUUAGUUCUAUGACGUCUGGUUGCGAUGUAAUUUUGGUCUACCAUCAUGGCUUGAAGGAUCAAACACUAUGCCCAUGGAUCUUCUUGAACUUUAUUAGAGGUCACUCAAUCGAAACUAGAGCAUCCAUCAGACGGAGAUGAUUGGUCAAGAAAGUUGAGAUGUGUUGAUUCUAGAGAUUGAAUCUUAAUCAAAUGAGGAUACUUCCAAGAGGCGAUGUGAUUUUUUUGUGGGCCUCUUUAUAUCAUUGCCUCUCCUUCUAUUUAUGAUGAAGUCAUCUCAUCUGAUGGUCUGAGAGAAACUAGAGCAAUACUGGAGCAGUCAAGAGCAACCAGAAAUCUGGAAGGAAAAAAAAGAAGCUAAAUGAACAUUUACAAUGAUGCCAUGGAAAUAACAAGCAUCACCUUUCAUUUUGUUCACCAAAACUUGUGAACACCAAAGGUGCUUUCCCAUGGAAACCUGAUUGGCACACAUCACAUAUAACAAAGGAUAACUUGAAAUUGUUGGAUGACAUGGCAGAAUUGAGGCCUAUUGAGUGUGAGGUCAUAUUUCAUCUGAUGGUCUGAGAGAAACUAGAGCAAUACCGGAGCAGUCAAGAGCAACCAGAAAUCUGUAAGAAGAAAAAAUGAACAUUUACAAUGAUGCCAUGGUAAGAAACCAAGUUGUACUUUGCCUAUUACUUAAUAUUAACAUACAUGCAAAUUGUAUAAUAGGGAAUAAGUCUUUUCAUAUUGCCUCAUAAAUUUGUAUGCUGUAAUUGAAUGCUAUUAGAUGCUAAGUUAUAAAAACUUCCAUUAAAACAUUAUACUUUCAUAAUCAAACCUAUUAUUAACACAUUGUAAUUUUAUUAUUUUUCCUAUUAAGUCUCUGUAUAUUGAAAAACUAAACAUGUUUGGUUUUGGUUACCAAUUAUAGCAUUAUAACUUUUUAAGUUUUUAUUAUUAAAACGUUGUACUUUCAAAAUUUAGUCUAAUUCCUUUCAGAAAUUCCAUUCUUAUCAAAAAUAUUCUAUGAACCACAAGUUCCCUUACAUUACUCUGAGAUGAAUUGCUAUGCUUAAUUCCACUUCCUUUAACAAGUUCCAUUUUCGUUACUCUGCAACAAGAAAAGGUUUUACUUAUGGUUGAUUAAAGGAAUAUAAUAUGCCCCUGAGAAUCAAUGUGUUAAUAUGUUUUUACCCUUAACACUAUAAAACACUUUAUGCUUUUUAUGUUUUUAUUUAGUUUUUUUGUUAAAGUUUAAAGGUACACUUUUAGUUCCAUUGAACCCAAAUAAGGGUGCUGUGUUGGGUGAUUAUGCCUUGAUGGAAAUGAUAUGCUGGUGUACAGGUAGCUACAGCUAUGAGUCUAUGACCCUGUUUGUGUAUUUCCAGCAAUACCCCUCAGUUCCUAAAACUUGUGGUCAUUUAUUGUCUUCAGCAAAUGAUAGGAUUACCAUACUUCAUGUUAAAUCAAUCAAAAAAGAUUCUAAAUAUUGCAUUUAGUUAUAACAUUACUUUUUCAACAAAUAACCUUAUUAAGAAUAUCUACUUUUUUUUCUAGAGAUUGAAUCUUAAAUCAAAUGAGGAUACUUCCAAGAGGCGAUGUGAUUUUUUUUUGUUGGCCUGUUUAUAUCAUUGCCUCUACUUCUGUGUCUGAGUUAGGUCAAAACAAUGUCUCCUAUUAUUUUUGUUCAUUGAAAAAACUUUGUCUAAAAUUUUCUAUUAUAAGGUUAUAAAGAAGAGGUCCAUCUAAGAGAUGCAGAGUUUAUAUAAUUUUUUCUAUUUUGAGGUUCACAACGUUGAUUACAUGUUAUAAUGUUUUCCUAUUAAUUAAGUAACAGAUAACUUUGUGUUUACAUGUCUAAGUUCACUAUAUUAUACUUUUGUCACUGAAAUUGUAUAACAUUGCAACAGGGAUCCUGUAUUGGACUUUAUAUACAUACAUACGUCUCUGUCCUUUUAUAUGAUGUUACCCUUACCCUGGUUUGUCCCCCAUUAAUGUCAUCUCUUCCAUCAGCAACUGGGUUUAAUAAGGCUGUAUCAUUUUCAAAACUUUAAUACAAUUUAGUGCAACUUUUAUUUGAGUUCAUACUUUAUGAUUUCUGCCAUUUUUAUUACUGAGUUAUUUGCCAUGUGAAUUACUGAUUUUUAGGAAAAUGACAAUCAUCGCCCUUUUCGUCCACCAAAAUUAGAUAAUCUGUUAUACAAGUGAACACGAAAGGUGCUUUCCCAUGGAAACCUGAUUGGCACAUAUCACAUAUAUGAAAGGAUGUUGUGUUGGGUGAUUACGCCUGGAUGGAAAUGAUAUGCUGGUGUACAGGAAAUGAUAGGAUUACCAUACUUCAUGUUAAAUCAAUCAAAAAAGAUUCUAAAUAUUGCAUUUAGUUCUCCUGGUAAUUCUUUACAAAAGAUAUUUGUUAUUUAGUCAAUUCUUUUAUUUGUUUAAAAAUGUACUUUUAUUUAGCAAAUUGGGACAUCAGGGACGGGAAAUGCCACAUGGUGUGGUCUUUGGUGGGUUGAAAUGUUAAAAACAAGUGGUCAAUAGAAAGAGGUAAUAAUCAGUUCUUUUUUUGUGAAUGAAAAUGGUUAUAUAUGAGAAUUUUGUUAAAAAGCUUCAUUUUUUUGCAUGAUUUGUCUAUAUGUUUAUAUGAAUGAUUUGUCUAUAUGUUUAGAGUAUUGUUACAUUUUUGUCCCCGAGUGUAACUGAUUUUUUUCAAUUUUGGUUCUUGUUUGGGGUUUGUAACGUUUUUUUACUUGUUCCAAGUAAGGUGACAAAAAAUUUACCUUGCAAUGCUUUGGAUAAGGACCCAAAUUUUGUAAAUUUUCUUUAUUCAGGGGCCAAAAGUGUAUUUUACUCUUGUUUGUCUGCUUUAUAUUAUAUUCUUCUGAGAAACCCAUGGUCACUAGAGAUAUUAUCUUUCAAGAUUUGAAGUGCAUUUUAUCACCAGAUAUCUAUACACUGAUGCACUUAAUUCCAAAAUAUUUUCAAUUCAUGGUUCAUUAAUAAUGCUCAAAGAUCACCAUUGGCUGCACACAUAGUAGCAACAACAUCCGAACAGGGGACAUAAAUUAGGGUUCAUUCUGUUUCAGAACCAACCAAGGUGAAAAGCAACAUACAUACAAUUUUCAUAUGAUCUUUGGUUCUUCAAAUGCAUUUCAUUCCAUUUGUUUAUACUAAUUUCCAACCUUUUGAUCAUUUUCAGUCUUAUGGUUUCCAAAGAGGGACAUACUUAUUAUCAUAUGACUCCUGAAAUUCUUGUAGCUACAAGCUCUUCAGGCUCUGUUCAUGCUUUAUUCAGGGACCAAAAGUGUAUUUUACUAGUUAAAAAGAUUAUAUUUGUACCUAAUUUCAGGAAAAGAAGCAGAAUGUUGUUCAACCCACCUUAUAAACAGGGAGAAUGUGGACUAUGUUUAAUGUCACACGAAGAAACGUUCAUUGCUUAAAUUACUUCGUGUUUUUUGGAGUUACACAUAAAAUAGUGCUGCACACAUAGUAGCAACAACAUCGGAACAGGGGACAUAAAUUAGGGUUCAUUCUGUUUCAGAAGCAACCAAGGUGAAAAGCAACAAACAUACAAUUUUUAUGAUCUUUGGUUCUUCAAAUGCAUUUCAUUCCAUUUGCUUAUACUAAUAUCCAACUUUUUGAUCAUAUUCAGUCUAAAAGUUUUCAAAGGGGGACGUACUUAUCGUAUGGGGACAUCUUGAAAUUGUUGGAUGACAUGGUGGAAUUGAGACCCAUUGUUUAGUGGGCCUGUUUAUAUCAUCGCCUCUCCUUCUAUUUAUGAAUGCAUAGUUUAUAUAAUUUUUUCUAUUUAGAGGUGACAGAUCUUCUGCUGCAUCUCCAUUGAAUGAACACGAAAGGUGCUUUCCCAUGGAAACCUGAUUGGCACACAUCGCAUAUAUGAAAGGAAACAAUGGAAUUGUUGGAUGACAUGGCAGAAUUGAGACAUAUUGUGUAAUUAUAUAACAAAGUAUAUUAUGGUGAAAGUCAUCUCAUCUGAUGGUCUGAGAGAAACUAGAGCAAUACUGAAGCAGUCAAGAGCAACCAGAAAUCUGGAAGAAAAAAUGAACAUUUACAAUGAUGCCAUGGUAACAAACCAAACUGUACUUUGCCUAUUACUUAAUAUUAACAUACAUGCAAAAUGUCUAAUAGGGAAUAAGUCUUUCCAUAUUGCCUCAUAAAUUUGUAUGCUGUUUAGAUGCUGAUUUAUAAAAACUUCCAUUAAAAGAUUAUACUGUCAUAAUCAAUCCUAUUAACACAUUGUAAUUUUAUUAUUUUUCUUAUUAGGUCACUGUA